rnacentral:rRNA from 1 species
AGUCGAACGGGCUUUGGGGCUUGCUCCAAAGUUAGUGGCGAACGGGUGAGUAAUAUAUCGGAACAUGUCCGGAAGUGGGGGAUAACGUAGCGAAAGUUACGCUAAUACCGCAUAUGCCCUGAGGGGGAAAGGGGGAGAUCGCAAGACCUCUCGCUUUCGGAGUGGCCGAUAUCGGAUUAGCUAGUAGGUGAGGUAAAGGCUCACCUAGGCGACAAUCCGUAGCUGGUCUGAGAGGACGACCAGCCACACUGGAACUGAGACACGGUCCAGACUCCUACGGGAGGCAGCAGUGGGGAAUUUUGGACAAUGGGCGAAAGCCUGAUCCAGCCAUACCGCGUGAGUGAAGAAGGCCUUCGGGUUGUAAAGCUCUUUCAGCCGGAAAGAAAUCGCAUCUAUUAAUACUAGGUGCGGAUGACGGUACCGGAAGAAGAAGCACCGGCUAACUACGUGCCAGCAGCCGCGGUAAUACGUAGGGUGCGAGCGUUAAUCGGAAUUACUGGGCGUAAAGCGUGCGCAGGCGGUUUUUUAAGCCAGAUGUGAAAUCCCCGGGCUUAACCUGGGAACUGCAUUUGGAACUGGAAGACUAGAGUGUGGCAGAGGGGGGUAGAAUUCCACGUGUAGCAGUGAAAUGCGUAGAUAUGUGGAGGAAUACCGAUGGCGAAGGCAGCCCCCUGGGUCAACACUGACGCUCAUGCACGAAAGCGUGGGGAGCAAACAGGAUUAGAUACCCUGGUAGUCCACGCCCUAAACGAUGUCAACUAGGUGUUGGGGAAGGAGACUUCUUUAGUACCGCAGCUAACG